UACAGGGGGCGCGAGCGUUGCUCGGAAUCACUGGGCGUAAAGCGAACGCAGGCGGACUGUUAAGUCGAAUGUGAAAGCCCGGGGCUCAACCCCGGAAGUGCAUUCGAAACUGGCAGUCUUGAGUACGGGAGAGGUGGGUGGAACUGCGAGUGUAGAGGUGAAAUUCGUAGAUAUUCGCAAGAACACCAGUGGCGAAGGCGGCUCACUGGCCCGGUACUGACGCUGAGGUGCGAAAGCGUGGGGAGCAAACAGG
rnacentral:rRNA from 1 species